ensembl:snRNA U6 U6 spliceosomal RNA
UGUUUAAAAAUAUAAAUUAUAAAGUAAUUUUGGAAUGAUACAGAGAAGAUUAGCAUGGCCCCUGCACAAGGAUGACAUGCAAAAGACUUAAAAGACCUCAACCGAC